rnacentral:lncRNA from 1 species
UGUAGAAGUUCCUAAAGCUGUUGAAGAAAUUAAGAAGAAAAAGCCUAGGAAAAAUAAAAGGCAUAAAAAUAGUAAGAAUCAUGUUAGAAAUUGCGAUGCGCAACCUAGAAAUAAUUCUAGGAUUUUCGUAAAUGAGACUAGACAUAAUUAUUUUAGGCCACCUAGAAAUGACUCUAGAAAUUUUAUAAACAAGCCUAGAAAUAAUCAUUUUAGGCCACCUAGAAAUGAUUCUAGGAUUUUGUUAAUGAGUCUAAUAUUAAUUAUUUUAGACCACCUAGAAAUGAUUCUAGGAAUUUUACUAAUGAGACUAGAAAUAAUCAUUUUAGGCCACCUAGAAAUAAUUCUAGGAUUUUUGUCAAUGAGUCUAGAA